rnacentral:rRNA from 1 species
CCUACGGGGCGCAGCAGUGGGGAAUAUUGGACAAUGGGCGAAAGCCUGAUCCAGCCAUGCCGCGUGUGUGAAGAAGGCCUUCGGGUUGUAAAGCACUUUCAGUGGGGAAGAAAGCCUUGGGGCUAAUACCCUCGAGGAAGGACAUCACCCACAGAAGAAGCACCGGCUAACUCCGUGCCAGCAGCCGCGGUAAUACGGAGGGUGCGAGCGUUAAUCGGAAUUACUGGGCGUAAAGCGCGCGUAGGCGGUCUGAUAAGCCGGUUGUGAAAGCCCCGGGCUCAACCUGGGAACGGCAUCCGGAACUGUCAGGCUAGAGUGCAGGAGAGGAAGGUAGAAUUCCCGGUGUAGCGGUGAAAUGCGUAGAGAUCGGGAGGAAUACCAGUGGCGAAGGCGGCCUUCUGGACUGACACUGACGCUGAGGUGCGAAAGCGUGGGUAGCAAACAGGAUUACAUACCCGGGUAGUC